rnacentral:rRNA from 1 species
ACAUGCAAGUCGAACGCUGAAGCCUGGUGCUUGCACCGGGUGGAUGAGUGGCGAACGGGUGAGUAACACGUGAGUAACCUGCCCCUGACUUCGGGAUAAGCCCGGGAAACUGGGUCUAAUACCGGAUACGACUGCCGGACGCAUGUCUGGUGGUGGAAAGUUUUUUCGGUUGGGGAUGGGCUCGCGGCCUAUCAGUUUGUUGGUGAGGUAAUGGCUCACCAAGACGACGACGGGUAGCCGGCCUGAGAGGGCGACCGGCCACACUGGGACUGAGACACGGCCCAGACUCCUACGGGAGGCAGCAGUGGGGAAUAUUGCACAAUGGGGGAAACCCUGAUGCAGCGACGCAGCGUGCGGGAUGACGGCCUUCGGGUUGUAAACCGCUUUCAGCAGGGAAGAAGCGCAAGUGACGGUACCUGCAGAAGAAGUACCGGCUAACUACGUGCCAGCAGCCGCGGUAAUACGUAGGGUACGAGCGUUGUCCGGAAUUAUUGGGCGUAAAGAGCUCGUAGGUGGUUGGUCACGUCUGCUGUGGAAACGCAACGCUUAACGUUGCGCGUGCAGUGGGUACGGGCUGACUAGAGUGCAGUAGGGGAGUCUGGAAUUCCUGGUGUAGCGGUGAAAUGCGCAGAUAUCAGGAGGAACACCGGUGGCGAAGGCGGGACUCUGGGCUGUAACUGACACUGAGGAGCGAAAGCAUGGGGAGCGAACAGGAUUAGAUACCCUGGUAGUCCAUGCCGUAAACGUUGGGCACUAGGUGUGGGGGGCAUUCCACGUUCUCCGCGCCGUAGCUAACGCAUUAAGUGCCCCGCCUGGGGAGUACGGUCGCAAGGCUAAAACUCAAAGGAAUUGACGGGGGCCCGCACAAGCGGCGGAGCAUGCGGAUUAAUUCGAUGCAACGCGAAGAACCUUACCAAGGCUUGACAUACACCGGACCGUCCUGGAAACAGGUCCUCUUCUUUGAAGCUGGUGUACAGGUGGUGCAUGGUUGUCGUCAGCUCGUGUCGUGAGAUGUUGGGUUAAGUCCCGCAACGAGCGCAACCCUCGUUC